rnacentral:precursor_RNA from 1 species
GCAGAAGGCCUGAAUAUGCUUGUUGCUGGUCAUCUAACUAUUUACUUGUAAUUGAAUAGUGAUUUGAUGGUUAGAUGAUCAUCAACAAGCACCUUCAGCCUAUAUGC